AACACCACAAGCGCUAAAGGGAACUGAAACAGAAACCACGAUAGGGCAACGAGCUAAGGGAAAAAGGUAAGUUAAAUAGCUUUUAAACCAAAGUGAUUGGCUCCUGUCACUUCCACACCCCCUAUAGGUAAUUGUAUAGGGAGUGUGGUAUGACAGGAGCCAAUGGGAGCCUUCUGGCAAUUAGGCUCCCACUGUCUCUUUAAGAGCGCGCCCGAGACUCGCGGCGCGCUCUUAGUUUCAGGCGGGACACG